rnacentral:rRNA from 1 species
UACGGGGGAUGCAAGCGUCAUCCGGAUUUAUUGGGUUUAAAGGGUGCGUAGGCUGUGAGGUAAGUCAGCGGUGAAAUGCCCCCGCUCAACGGGGUGAAGUGCCAUUGAUACUGCCUUGCUGGAAUGCGGAUGCCGUGGGAGGAAUGUGUGGUGUAGCGGUGAAAUGCAUAGAUAUCACACAGAACACCGAUUGCGAAGGCAUCUCACGAAUCCGCGAUUGACGCUGAUGCACGAAAGCGUGGGUAUCAAACAGG